rnacentral:misc_RNA from 1 species
AAGUCGUAACAAGGUUUCCGUAGGUGAACCUGCGGAAGGAUCAUUAAAGAAACUUCGCCUCCGGGCGGAGUCCUUCUAAACCCGUGUCUACCUUACCUUUGUUGCUUUGGCAGGCCGCCUUCGGGCGUCGGCUCCGGCUGACAGUGCUUGCUAGAGGACCGAACUCUUUUGUUUAGUGAUGUCUGAGUACUAUAUAAUAGUUAAAACUUUCAACAACGGAUCUCUUGGUUCUG